CGGAGCGAGCCGGCGGCAGCGGGGCCGCAGAGCAGGGAUCAUGGCCCCAGGCUGCUGCAGCUCGGGGGGCGUUUGGUCACCGCUCUCAGGCAUAGCGUUUGAAUUUUGGGUGGUCGCGUGUGGGGCCAGGAGUUGGACUCGAUGAUCCGUGUGCAUCCCCUCCAACUCAGGAUGUACUGUGAUCCUAUGAAAUACUGUUACAAAACAGCCCCAGGAACUGAGACCCUCCUGAAUCCCGCUGCUUUUGAUUCCAGCCUUCUGAACUGUGCGGUAAAACCAAACAAGCAUUUUGUUGCUUAUUUGAUCAGAAAAAGGUAUGCACUAAACCAAGCUUGCUCAACAGUUGAGCCUAGGCACAACCUUUCCCACAGAUCUCGGGAAGAUCCCUUCAAGUUCUGAGAGAAACCUAUGCCCUGUUGUUGGUGGUGAGGUGACUGGGGCAAGAGUUUUCUCCUCCAUUCCAUUGUACCAGAGGAGGUUUAGGUUAGAGAUAAGGAAAACCUUUUUCUCUCAGAGAGUGGUCAGGCACUGGAAUGGCCUGCCCAGGGAGGUGGUGGAGUCGCUGUCCCUGGAAGUGUUCAAGAGGUGUGUGAAUGAGGAGCUACAAGAUAUGGUUUAGUGGCCUGUGAUGGUAGCAAUGGUAAUGGAAGGACAGUUGGACUAGAUGAUCUUGUGGGACCUUUCCAACCUUGUGAUUCUAUGAUUCUAUGGAAGUCAGGUGGAAACAAGCAAAUUGUGAACUGAGAGAGUCAUUUGAAAGAGUGCUGGUUUCAUACUGGUCCAUCCAGACGUGCAUUUCCACUGUGGAGAGGCCAAACAGCCCUGGAGAAGCCUGUCCUCAUAGGGAAGGUGCUCCAGCCUUCUGAUCAUCUUCAUGGCGCUCCUCUGGACCUGCUCCAACAACUCUAUCUCCUCCUUGUGCUGGGGGUUCCAGAACUGGACACAGUACUCCAGGGGGGAUUGGCUAUGGAGGAGAUAGCAGAGGACACUUUCCAGGAGUUCUUCAGCCUCUCUUUCACUUUUCCUUCUUUCCCUGGAGCUCUAGAGCUAGUUACAAUAGCUCUUGAGAAUUCUGAACAUCCAUGAGAUGAUCAAACCAGAGUCCUCUUAUUGCUGUGUGUCAAUGAAUAUGUUUCAGGUUAUGCUUAAGAUAAAACAAUUAUUUAAGAAUAUCAUCUGGAGAUCAGCCCUGAGGUGGGAUAUUUCUGAGUGGCAGGAAGUGCCAAUAAUUUGGAACUUCACCUCUAAAUUACUGCAGAGUCUGGAAAAACUAGUAGAACAUUUGGAAAAGAUCUUCUGUUGCCCUGGAGGUCCUAAAGAGGCAGAAAUCAUUGCAGUGUGCUGGGGCCUGGUCUAUGCUUACAGAGAUCUUCUGAUCAAUACUAUUCAGCAUCCUUAAGGGGAACAGAGUACUUCUGGAUGUGAAGACAAUACAACAGACCCUCCAACUUCCAUGAUAGAGUCCCUGCAGCAGCUCCAGUUUCUGCAAGAGGUCCUACGGUUUCUCCAAGCAUUGAGACACCAUGCUGCCACUCCAACCCUUGUGAUGAGCCCUAUGGUUACUCCUGCUGUGGGUCUUGUGGCUGUUACAAG
ensembl:lncRNA